CCUUAAUCAUUCAAAACCAAGUGGAAGAGAGUAAUCCGGAACUGAAGUGGAAGCUAGGUUUGGGAGUUGGACACGACAACAUUGCACUGGGACUCUCGCGCAUGAAGUUUUAUCUGUCUAUCGAAACUUGAAAAAGGUCCUACUGAGAUAUGUCUUCCGAUAGUGCAAAGGAAAAUGCAUCAGUAGUUGAUUCAUCAGUAACUGAAUGGAAGCAGGACAUGGGAAAUUCAGAUGAACCAGAGAGCUCAAGUUACAAGGUUAAUGGGGAAAGUAAAACAACUAGGGCUGGUAAAGUGGGACGUUCUCAUUCUCAAACUGGGCUUCCGACUGGAACUGGAACGGAAAAAUUAUAUAACACAAAGUACUUUAUCAUUAAGAGUUUGAAUCAACAAAAUAUCCGUUUGUCAGUUGAGAAAGGAAUUUGGGCUACUCAAAUCAUGAACGAACCGAUUUUGGAAGAAGCCUUUCAUAAUGCAGGUAGAGUAAUACUUAUAUUUAGUGUCAACAUGAGUGGUUCCUUCCAAGGAUAUGCGCAAAUGACGUCCUCCGUUGGGUGGAGGAGAGAUAAUGUUUGGGGUGAGGGAAGUGGUAAAAGUAAUCCCUGGGGUCACAGUUUUAAGGUCAAAUGGCUGCAGUUAUGUGACUUGCCUUUUCAUAAGACUCUUCAUCUCAGGAAUCCAUUGAAUGACUAUAAACCUGUCAAAAUUAGCAGAGAUUGCCAGGAGUUAUCUCCAGAUAUUGGUCUAGCUCUUUGUGAACUCCUUGACGGUAAGAAUGAUUUGAGUGGCCAGCUGACCAGUUCAUCCAGGGAUGCUUUUUCUUCGAAGAGGCAGUCUGCCAUGACUCCAAGCUCCAUAGACAACAAAGACUGUAACUUCUCUCCACUGUAUAUGUCUUGGUCAAUGCCAUUACCUUAUCAUCCUUCCUCACUGUACCAAAACCAAGCUGAAGCAAAUAGAUUUCAUUCAGCAAACCAUAGAAUCAAUGGGACAAAUUUCACUGAAAUAUUGCCUGUAACUUCUGGGUCAUCAAAAGUAGCAGGGAGUAAACGUUCUCAUUUUAGUGGUCAUAUUCCUAAGCUACAAGUUGACAAGGAUGUGGCUUCUCAAUUUGAUGUUUGGGGCCUGUCUGCUGAAAGCCCUUUAGCUAGUACCCUAACUGAGGAUGAUUUUCUUGACAUGGUACUAGAAUAUUAUCUUUCAUUCUCUCAUCUUUUUAUUUUACAUCCUAUUUUUUUCUCUCCACAUUUUUCGUUUAGAUUUAUGUUAAGAAUCUACUUUAAGGAAUGGCUUGCAAAUAUCUGAAUUUGACAAAGUGAAAGUCAGUGAUAGAGGAUAUUAUGUUUAGGGAAGAGGAAAUAUCUUCUGACCUGCAUGUUCUUUGCUUGAAUCGUUGAAGGAACUUUUACUGAUGUCUAUUUAUGCGAUCAUGAUUCUGUUAGUUGUCUGUUUGCUUAUUUCAUAUGAAUUUGGGGAUUAUAAUUUAGACAAAGUUUUACAUUGGCCCUCUUGUUAACUAAUGUGGUGAUGGGAAAUUCAACUUGUCAGGCCUUCAGUUAGUACCCCUCCAUUCCUGAGCUUCUUUGAUGCCUUACAUGCACAAGCAAUUUGGCCCAUAAUCCAUAAUAUUAAAAUUAAAUUAAUUUUUAUCUAGUCUGCCCUUUUGAGUUUUGAAGAAUUCUCGAAGAAGUUAAAACAUAGCUUAGAUUAAAGAUGGCCAUGCUCUAUAAUUAUUAAGGGUUCAUCUGGUGUCUAGUCCCUGGAUAUAAGGUUUUGUCCAAUCACCGCAUUAUAACUGUAUACUAUGGGGAAUACAUAGUUAUAAUAUUAAAGUUGCACUUUUUUUCAUUUUCUGCGUCAACAGACAAGUUUAUGAAGAGAGAGAAAAAAGUACAACUUUAACAUUAUAACUAUGUAUUCCCCGGAGUACAUAGUUAUAAUGCGGUGAUUGGACAAAACUUUAUAUCCAGUGACUGGAUACCCAAUUUUCCCUAAUCAUAAUAACAGUAAAUGAAUAUUUCCUAAUAUUGGUUGUUGAGCACACUGGCAAGAUCUGGUUAGAAAACAUUUGAUGGAUCAAUUUUUCACUGGAUUGGGCAAUUUAAACUUUUUUAUGUACAGGAACAUUUUCUUGUUGAUGUACUUCAAAUUCCUUCUCCCCACUUUGUUCCUGGGAUCCCAAUAAAGAUGUCGAAGCUUGUUAUUGCUGUACUGGAUAUUGAGUUCCUAGAAAUUUUUAGGUCUUGGAGCUGUUGAUUAAAAUAUGCUGCAUGAUGCUGGCAGGAGAAAGGGUUAUCUAUUGUGUUAAUUGAAUUCCUGAUGUUUGUAUACUUGGAAUAACUUUUUGUUUCAAACUGCAUGUUUCUUCUGUUAAUUGAUUUGGUUGCAGUCCUAUGAAGAAUACCUGGAGGCCCAUACCAGAUGCAAGAAACAAUUAUUCUCCGGUGCAACUAAAUCAUCUCGCAGUUGGAAUCAUUGAGAAGUAAUUCAAGUGAUGAUGAUAUUGAUAGGAACUUGGACGAGUUUGUUAGAGACAGGAGCAGACGUAUUCAUCAGUAAUAUCUGCCUUGGAUAUAACUGCUCCUCCAACAUAGUAGCAAAAUGAAAGUAAAUAGUAACUGUAAUUUGUAUAAAAUUAGAACUUAAUGUUGUACUUCAUGUACCAUAUUAUGUGAUUCAAAUACAGCGCUUGAGGCUUGUUUACCAAAUGUACAAAAUUGAGAUUGACAAAAGGCCCCUUAUGGAAGAGUGUCAGCAGAGAUGCAUAAUUUUGGUUUAGGGAGAGCAAGAAAUAUGAUAGAAGAUUACGACUCACCUUAUUUUCGCUGUCAUUCUUCUGGCAUAUAUCCGGGAGAAACAUGCUCCGUUUAUACAUGAACGUAUUUUG